rnacentral:tRNA from 2 species
GCCCGGAUGGCGAAAUUGGUAGACGCAAGGGACUUAAAAUCCCUCGGUGGCAACACCGUGCCGGUUCGACCCCGGCUCCGGGCACCA